rnacentral:lncRNA from 12 species
ACAGGACAAUGUAGUCUUCCCUUUAUACCCUUCCAUUUUGCUGCUGCUAUUUUAUCUCAGCCAUUUCCCAUGAGACAACUUUGCUCUAACAAAAUAUUCUCAUCACGUGCCCAGAUACUUAAAGGAUUAAAAUCAAAUUUUCCAAAACAUGGAAGAGCUUUUGAAAAGGUAGUUUUCAGGGUUAAUUUAUUCCUCCAUCAAUUUUUAAAAUCUCAGGCAAAUUAAAAAUUCUUCUGCAUCCACUUCAAUUUUAAUUCAAUGGGAUUUUUAAAAUCAGAAUUGAUUCUUUUUAGGCAAAUGGUUGGAUAUUUUUAUCUAUAUCAUUAUCUACUGACUACAGACAGGGUCUGCUGUUUUAAGUUUUGUUUAGGUGUCAUUAUUUUUACCAAGUCAACUUUUUUGAUCUUAUGAAUAUUACAAUAAUGUUUGCCCCAGUUUUAUUGAUAUAAUUGACAUACAGCCCUGUGUAUGUUCAAGGUAAACAGCGUAACGAUUUUAUAUUCCUGUAUUGUGACACGAUUACCAGAAUAAGUUUAGUUAAACACCAUCAUUUCUUAUAGAUACAAAAAUAAAUAAAAAAGCAAACUAAUCACUAAGCACCUCUGAGCUACAGAGGGAUACCUAUACCACAGGUCAGGAUCGCUGGAAGCCAUUGUGAAGGUUGCAGCCCUCAGAGACCAAAGUGAGGCAAUUGGAUCUCAUUCUAAAUAUAACAGGAAACAAUUGGACGGUUUUCUUAAAGAAGAUGACAAUGUCUGCAUCUUGGAGCAUUUUCACCAGAUUGUGGUGCCCCCAUUAAAAUGAGGCCAGACGGAAAGUGACUAUUGUGAUAUUACGUUGCUGGAACCCAGGCCACGUUUGAGCGGUACUUCAUGUCAGAAUUCUGUACAGUCCUCAUACCAUCCUUCCAGGAUAGAAACCUCUCAAACUUCCCAAUCAUUUCCUGCAUAUGUAAGGUGUUCACCCCAGCCCAACAGGUCCUGGGCCAACAGUUCAACAGGAGUGGGCAUCUAAACUUGGCACCCUGGGGAUGGAUGUCCAGAGAGCAAGGAAGAGGGGACGGCAGAUAAGGUG